UACGUAGGGUGCAAGCGUUAUCCGGAAUUAUUGGGCGUAAAGAGCUCGUAGGCGGUUUGUCGCGUCUGCUGUGAAAACCCGAGGCUCAACCUCGGGCCUGCAGUGGGUACGGGCAAACUAGAGUGCGGUAGGGGAGAUUGGAAUUCCUGGUGUAGCGGUGGAAUGCGCAGAUAUCAGGAGGAACACCGAUGGCGAAGGCAGAUCUCUGGGCCGUUACUGACGCUGAGGAGCGAAAGCAUGGGGAGCGAACAGG
rnacentral:rRNA from 1 species